CCUACGGGUGGCAGCAGUGGGGAAUAUUGCACAAUGGGGGGAACCCUGAUGCAGCGACGCCGCGUGGGUGAAGGAGUCCUUCGGUACGUAAAGCCCUAUCAGCAGGAAAGAAAAUGACGGUACCUGACUAAGAAGCCCCGGCUAACUCCGUGCCAGCAGCCGCGGUAAUACGUAGGGGGCGAGCGUUAUCCGGAUUCACUGGGUGUAAAGGGAGCGUAGACGGCCAUGCAAGCCAGGGGUGAAAGCCCGGGGCCCAACCCCGGGACUGCCAGUGGAACUGCAUGGCUGGAGUGCGGGAGGGGCAGGCGGAAUUCCUGGUGUAGCGGUGAAAUGCGUAGAUAUCAGGAGGAACACCGGCGGCGAAGGCGGCCUGCUGGACCGCGACUGACGUUGAGGCUCGAAAGCGUGGGGAGCGAACAGGAUUAGAUACCCGGGUAGUC
rnacentral:rRNA from 1 species